rnacentral:rRNA from 1 species
CCUACGGGCGGCAGCAGUGAGGAAUAUUGGUCAAUGGGCGCGAGCCUGAACCAGCCAAGUAGCGUGAAGGAUGACUGCCCUACGGGUUGUAAACUUCUUCUAUAAAGGAAUACAGUGAGGCUCGUGUGCCUUUUUGUAUUUACUUUAUGAAUAAGGAUCGGCAAACUCCGUGCCAACCGCCGCGGUAAUACGGAGGAUCCGAGCGUUAUCCGGAUUUGUUGGGUUAAAGGGGUGCGUAGGCGGAUGUUUAAGUCAGCGGUAAAAUGUCCGGGCUCAACCCGGGCCGGCCGUUGAAACUGGGGAUCUUGAGUGUGCGAGAGGUAAGCGGAAUGCGUGGUGUAGCGGUGAAAUGCAUAGAUAUCACGCAGAACUCCGAUUGCGAAGGCAGCAAACCGGCGCCCGACUGACGCUGAGGAACGAAAGCGUGGGGAUCGAACAGGAUUAGAUACCCGAGUAGUC